GAUGAACGCUGGCGGCGUGCUUAACACAUGCAAGUCGAACGGUGAAGCAGGAGCUUGCUCUUGUGGAUCAGUGGCGAACGGGUGAGUAGCACGUGAGCAACCUGCCCCUGACUCUGGGAUAAGCGCUGGAAACGGCGUCUAAUACUGGAUAUGUGAUGUGACCGCAUGGUCUGCAUCUGGAAAGAAUUUCGGUUGGGGAUGGGCUCGCGGCCUAUCAGCUUGUUGGUGGGGUAAUGGCUCACCAAGGCGUCGACGGUUAGCCGGCCUGAGAGGGUGACCGGCCACACUGGGACUGAGACACGGCCCAGACUCCUACGGGAGGCAGCAGUGGGGAAUAUUGCACAAUGGGCGGAAGCCUGAUGCAGCAACGCCGCGUGAGGGAUGACGGCCUUCGGGUUGUAAACCUCUUUUAGCAGGGAAGAAGCGAAAGUGACGGUACCUGCAGAAAAAGCACCGGCUAACUACGUGCCAGCCGCCGCGGUAA
rnacentral:rRNA from 1 species